UGCACAUGCAGGCUGGGUACCUGGAGCAGGGAAGGAAAGCACCUGAUGAUCACCUACAACUGCUGUGACCCCCUCUGCAAAUCCCAGCCCCUUCAGAGCAGGAGGUCACAUCAUGCUCCAGGACUCAGCUGUGAGCUUGAGUGAGAACAAAAGGAUGGUUGUUACCCCCAGGAGCUGCCUAUGAGCACAGAUACAGCCAUGGGUGUGGUGCCAGGAUUGUCAGGAUGGAACUGUGGAGCCUGAGCAUGAUGAUUUCUCCCAGACCCUGACAGAGGACUUUUCCAAGGGGAAAUGGCUGCUGACAAUUGCCAGCUCCUUGCAGCUUCUGCCGCUGUGGCGAGGAGAAAAUGAUUCCCAGUGGAGUGAGCUUAGCUCAGAAGCUCAAAAGUACCUGGAGACAACUGGAAAGUCUCCACAGUAAAGUCUGCCAGCUACAUCAUGGUACCAUGGCUGGAGCUUGAAGACUUUGGUGAUAGCACAUGCUGCCC